rnacentral:ribozyme from 13 species
UACAACAAAUGGAACAUCAUAAUACAGAAUUACAGCAACAAUUAAGACAAGUGAGAUCUUAUAUAGUGUUCUCUUUUCCUUGGCAUCUGUUUCUCAUUUUUCUUUCUUGUUUUUUUUUCCUACUUUUUUUUUCUA